UACGAAGGGGGCUAGCGUUGUUCGGAUUUACUGGGCGUAAAGCGCACGCAGGCGGCUUAUCAAGUCAGAGGUGAAAUCCCGGGGCUCAACCUCGGAACUGCCUUUGAAACUGGUAAGCUAGAGUUCGGGAGAGGAUAGUGGAAUUCCUAGUGUAGCAGUGAAAUGCGUAGAUAUUAGGAGGAACACCGAUGGCGAAGGCAGCUAUCUGGCCCGAUACUGACGCUCAUGUGCGAAAGCGUGGGGAGCAAACAGG
rnacentral:rRNA from 1 species